UACAGAGGUGGCAAACGUUGUCCGGAUUUAUUGGGUGUAAAGGGCAUGUAGGUGGUUUUGUAAGUCAAAGGUGAAAUGGCCCGGCUCAACCAGGUCAUUGCCUUUGAAACUGCAAGACUCGAGUUCGGAAGAGGAAAGCGGAAUUCCCAGUGUAGCGGUGAAAUGCGUAGAUAUUGGGAGGAACACCGGCGGCGAAGGCGGCUUUCUGGUCCGAAACUGACACUGAGAUGCGAAAGCCAGGGGAGCAAACGGG
rnacentral:rRNA from 1 species